GGGGGUGUAGCUCAGAUGGUAGAGCGCGCGCUUAGCAUGAGCGAGGUACCGGGUUCGAUACCCGGCACCUCCA
rnacentral:tRNA from 1 species